GUGUGUGUGUGUGCGCAGGAACGAUCAGAAGAACAGGGGGUUCUUUCAAAACCCUAAAGCACAUGAAAUCCAGCAAAAUCAAGGAGAAAUCGAGCAAAGAAAUUAGGGCUUUAACUAAAAUCGUGAUCACCAAGCUAAGGGGAUCGGAAGUUUGACGCCUAACAAGCUAGGUGGAAGCUUGUGGAUGAAGCGGGUCAAACGGAGCGCGUACGGAAAGAAAGGCGUGGCAUGGAUGCAAGGUGUAAAUGUCAAAUGGGUAUUAGCAACGCUAUGAAUUAGCGGUUAUAAAAGCAAGGUAUUAAAAACGGGUCAAUAUAUUGAUCUGCGCCAGGUAUGU
rnacentral:lncRNA from 1 species